UACGUAGGGGGCAAGCGUUGUCCGGAUUUAUUGGGCGUAAAGAGCGUGUAGGCGGUUUGGUAGGUCCGUUGUGAAAACUCGAGGCUCAACCUCGAGACGCCGAUGGAAACCAUCAGACUAGAGUCCGGAAGAGGAGAGUGGAAUUCCUGGUGUAGCGGUGAAAUGCGCAGAUAUCAGGAAGAACACCGGUGGCGAAGGCGGCCUGCUGGGCAGUGGCUGACGCUGAGGCGCGACAGCGUGGGGGAGCAAACAGG
rnacentral:rRNA from 1 species